rnacentral:rRNA from 1 species
CGCGUAGGCGGUUUAUUAAGUGAGGCGUGAAAGCCCUGGGCUUAACCCAGGAGGUGCGUUUCAUACUGGUAGACUUGAGUACGAGAGAGGAAAGCGGAAUUCCUAGUGUAGAGGUGAAAUUCGUAGAUAUUAGGAAGAACACCAGAGGCGAAGGCGGCUUUCUGGCUCGUAACUGACGCUGAGGCGCGAAAGCGUGGGGAGCAAACAGGAUUAGAUACCCUGGUAGUCCACGCUGUAAACGAUGAGUGCUAGACGUUGGGGAGCAAUCUUCAGUGUCGCAGCUAACGCAUUAAGCACUCCGCCUGGGGAGUACGGUCGCAAGAUUAAA